rnacentral:rRNA from 1 species
GACGAACGCUGGCGGCGUGCUUAACACAUGCAAGUCGAACGGAAAGGCCCUGCUUUUGUGGGGUGCUCGAGUGGCGAACGGGUGAGUAACACGUGAGUAACCUGCCCUUGACUUUGGGAUAACUUCAGGAAACUGGGGCUAAUACCGGAUAGGAGCUCCUGCUGCAUGGUGGGGGUUGGAAAGUUUCGGCGGUUGGGGCUGGACUCGCGGCUUAUCAGCUUGUUGGUGGGGUAGUGGCUUACCAAGGCUUUGACGGGUAGCCGGCCUGAGAGGGUGACCGGCCACAUUGGGACUGAGAUACGGCCCAGACUCCUACGGGAGGCAGCAGUGGGGAAUAUUGCACAAUGGGCGGAAGCCUGAUGCAGCAACGCCGCGUGCGGGAUGACGGGCUUCGGGUUGUAAACCGCUUUCGCCUGUGACGAAGCGUGAGUGACGGUAAUGGGUAAAGAAGCACCGGCUAACUACGUG